rnacentral:rRNA from 1 species
GUGAGGAAUAUUGGACAAUGGGCGCAAGCCUGAUCCAGCCAUGCCGCGUGCAGGAAGACGCAUCUAUGGUGUGUAAACUGCUUUUGUACGGGAAGAAACACUCCCUCGUGAGGGAGCUUGACGGUACCGUAAGAAUAAGGAUCGGCUAACUCCGUGCCAGCAGCCGCGGUAAUACGGAGGAUCCAAGCGUUAUCCGGAAUCCUUGGGUUUAAAGGGUCCGUAGGCGGUUUAAUAAGUCAGUGGUGAAAGCCCAUCGCUCAACGAUGGAACGGCCAUUGAUACUGUUAGACUUGAAUUACAAGGAAGUAACUAGAAUAUGUAGUGUAGCGGUGAAAUGCUUAGAUAUUACAUGGAAUACCAAUUGCGAAGGCAGGUUACUACUUGUGGAUUGACGCUGAUAGACGAAAGCGUGGGGAGCGAACAGGAUUAGAAACCCCAGUAGUCC